rnacentral:piRNA from 1 species
UUCAACCAACAAUUGUUUUUU